AGAGGAGAGACCCGAAGCGGCCGCCGGUCCGCGUGUCAGGUGAACUGAACUUCAGAAGGAGGAAGAAGGCAAAGAGAAGAGAGAUGAGGAUGAAAAGCUCCAGUUUAGAGAGUCAGCGAACAUCAGUGAGAAGAGAAGUUUUGAAGAACAAAGCAAAACAGUUAUUCUGUGGAGGGAGAGACUGAACAUUUCGAGCAUCGAACAUGUUUGUUCUCAUCUGGUCGGCUCUGUUUGUCUCUGUAAAAGGCAGCAUUGCUGACACAGGUGCCUCAGCCUGGGGACAACAACUCUGUGUUGGAAGAUACUGUGUUACUCUGAGUGAGCGAGAACUAACAGCAGAGGCUGGACUCUGUGUUGUGAUCCCGUGUUCUUUCACUAAUGCUGAUGAGUUUACACCCAACCAUACAAUUUGGUACAAAUGUGAAGCAUCUCAAAAAUUUUGCACUGAUGCUGACAUAAUAUUUCACAGCAACAAAAACACAGACACAAAAGCUCAGUCUGGGUUUGAAGGACGAGUGUCAAGUUUGGAGCCUGAUGUGAGUCAGAAAAACUGCAGCAUCAUCAUUAAUGAUCUCAAAGAGUCUGAUUCUGGAUCAUAUCAGCUCAGAGUUCAUGGUGUACUGAAUGGAAAACAAGAUGCAUUCACAUUCAUUCCAAGAGUAAAUGUUUCUGUUAAAGGUCUUAGUCAGAAGCCCACAGUAAUGAUUCCCACACUGACAGAGGGACAGCAGGCCACACUGACCUGCACUGCUCCUGGUCUCUGCUCUGGAUCUGUUCCUGAAAUCACCUGGACAUGGAGAGGAGCAGGAGGGACUGAAUCUUACAUUACAGGAAACAGCACUGAUUUCAAGACUGAGAAUCUGACUGAUGUAACACAGAGACACAGCUCAACUUUCACCUUCAAUCCUUCAGCUGAGCACCACGACACUAGUGUCACCUGCAAUAUCAACUUCACAGGUGGAGAAAGUACAGAGAAGACUUUGACUGUAAAUGUGACCCAUAAGAAAGAAAUUACAAUCAGUGGUGUUACAAUUGUUAAGGAGGGAGAUGUUCUGAAUCUGACCUGUAGUGUUGAAAGUUUCCCUCCAUCUCUGAUUGAGUGGUCUAAACUUAGUUCUGACACAAACCUGCACAGUUAUUCUGGAUCAGCCAGGCUUGUCAUUGAGAAUGUGAAACCAGAACAUUCUGGACAGUACAUCUGUGCAGUUACAUAUAUGAACAAUACCCUGAAGAAGGAUGUCAAUAUCACAGUGAUAUAUAACAGGGCUGCUCAGAUCAUUGGGAAUACAACUGUGAGGAAGGGAGAUGUUCUGAAUCUGACCUGUAGUGUUGAAAGCUUUCCGCCAUCUGUGAUUGUGUGGUCUAAAUGUGGUUCUAACACAAAGCUGCACAAUGACAGUGGGUCAGCUACACUUGUCGUCCAUAAUGUGACAUCAGAACAUUCAGGGCAGUACAUCUGUACAGUAAAACAUCUGGACACAACUCUGACUUCAUAUGUUGAUGUAACUGUGACUUGGCAUACAAAGAUACAGAAUGGCUCAGGAUGUGUGCUUCAGUCUGAGGGUUUGACCUGUGUGUGCAUCAGUGAAGGGUUUCCUUUACCUAACAUCAAAUGGCCUCUGUUGAAUCACCACACUGAGUACUCUGUCAUUACCACUGUAUUAAACCACACAGUCAACAGCACUGUCAGUGUAACUGUAAAAAACCAUGGCAACAGCACUGUUGAAUGUGUCAGCAACAAUGGAAAUGGAGAAGAAAGAGAAAACCUGCUGCUCAAUAACAAGUUGUCCAAAAAAGAUGAUUUGUGCUUUUCAUCUAAACACUUUCCACUUUAACAUUUUCAGAUUUUUAGUACUGUACUUUUAACACAACCUCUGUUUUUGCAUGUACUACUUAUAAUUCAGAAACCACGGGUAUUAACUUUUAACUUUUUCCUUUCCAUUUUAUUUCCCCCGAGUGCAGAGCAACCAUCUAGUUUUAGGCUGGAAUUCCUGAAAGUCAUCAAAGUCAUCAUUGGUCAGAAAUUGCUAUAGGUGCAGCAUUUACUUUAGUAAUUAUUAUCAGGUUUUCUCCAUAGAUAAAUUUUAAUAUAUAUUUGUAAACAUGUUCUGUAAAAAUUACCUUUUCUCCAGAAAAAAAGAGUUCCAGAAAUUCAGAUUAGACUGUGGAGAUGGAUUUUUUUGUUUGUUUCCAUUUCUUAUUGACUUGGGUAAUUAAUAAUAACCACCAUCUUUUUUUUUAAUAGACCUUAUAGUUUUUAAAUAUUGAUCUCUACCAAAUGGUUGAAAUAUAACUUAAUGGUUUACUUAUAUGUUAUGUAAAUACAAGUACAGUAGAUAAUAAAGCUGCAAUAAAUAAAAUAAAAUGCCAAAUUAUACUUUAAUUAACAACAAAAACUAUCCAGAGCAUUUGUUUCUAGUAGUUUGCCACAGAACAUUGCAGAUUUUUAUUCCAGCAAAGGAAAAUAUUGUAUCAAACAACAAAAAAGUGCAUUUCAGAAUUUUUUUAAUCUUGACUGCAUCUGCACUUUAACUGCAGCAGCAGAAAAGUCUCACAUUCAGGACAAUGGUGAUUGUAUCGCGCGCUGCAAAAUAAUUUGUACUUUCAAAAACAAAAAUCUAAAAAACAAAAAAUAUCCAAAACAAAGGAAAUAUUUGCAUUAAACAUUUCUGAAUCAGCAUUUCUCAACAACAUUCUACAGACUACGUAUCAGUCAACGUGAUGAAAUAUGUGCAGUAUGUUCACAACUGUAUAGAUGUAGAGCAGAGGUUGGCAACCAGCAGCUCACUGGACACAUGUGACUGUUUAGCCUCUCAGCUGUGGCUCCUGGAAACGCUAAAAUUUAAAAAAAGCUAAGCUUACAUCUGUCACCCACAGCAUUUUAGCCCCCACGUGUGUGUGUGUGUGUGUGUGUGCGUGUCUGUGUGUGUGUGUGUGUACAUAUAAAAGAUACAUAAAAUAUGUGUGUUUGUGUGUGCUCUCUUGUGUCUUACAGCAGUUCAUGUGAAACAUUGUGGUUCUUACAGUACAGUUCUUCCCUGGAUUGUUGCUGGUGUAUCUCUCACUUUGAAUGCCUUCUGCAUAAUCUACAUAUGGUUCCUUUGGAAUUCAAGAAAAAAGGUGAACCUACAUCAGGAGGAGAGAACCUACAUGUCACUGCAAAAAGUGGAUGCAUCAUCAGAUUAUGAUGUUAUUGCACAACAUAUAAACUGAAAAGUCAGGUUUCAGAUAGCUGUGUGGUUGUAAUGGCAGCCUGUUGUCAAUACUGUGGUGAUGUAAUUAAUUUAGUUUCAUUGUCUUUAUUAAAGCAGAUACUCUGGUAUUAGAAAUUUUAAUUUAAAUUGUCUAUUAAAUUAAAGCUUAAUAUUUGUUAAUUAUUUUUUACAUUGCAUUGUAAAUAAAUGAGAUUGUUUGUUUAUGUAAUAAUUUACACUUUCUAUUUCAAUUUAUACAUAGAGUUUAAUAAAAUUGUUCACAUGUCUACAGCUGCAAAUUGAGCUUCUUUUGUUCUUUUCUUUUAUCUUUGUAAGUUUAGCAAGUUGUAGCUAACAAGCCUACAAUAAUUCUACCUUUUUAUCGAUCAGAUCAAUUCACUAGCUCUCUGGGGUCAGUCAGUUACAGCACAGUUUUUCUACUGUUCAUCUUUGCCAUUGUUGUAAAAUGUGGCAUGGUGGAAUAAUUGACAGAAUCUCCCAUGAAACACUGGGUUAGGAAUA